AGCCCGCCACGGAGUGGGCGGGACGCCAGGCAGGCGGGGGACGCGGCGGCUGCCAGCCAAGGGGCCGGAGCCAAGAGAUUUGCAUUGGAAGCGCCAUCCUCUUGAGCGUCUGAUGAGGAAGCAGAACCCGGUGACCGACUGAGCUGCAUUUCUGAAACAUUUGCUGGGUUUUGCCUCGCUAAGCCUCGGGGAGCAGUGGGGCGCGGGAUGGGGGACCCUGUCACGGAGCCGACACCUACUCGCGCGCCCCUCCCCCGCUCACGCCGUGUCGCGGGCUCGCCCUCCCCAUCUGCAGCGCCCGCAGCGCCUGCCCGCCCCGCCCAUCCUUCCUCCUGGGCAACCCAGAGGAUGGCGUGAGGACUCCUGGAAGCCCCGAGGACCGGACCAGGGGCGUGGUGGGGAGCCGUAGACCCGAGUUUUUAUCCUUCUCUGCCGCUGACACUCGGCUGCGGAAUCGAGUUUGAGCUCGGUGUAGCUGAAGUUUAAAUUGUAGCUGUUUCAAAGGUAGACCCCACCUCACCCCCACCCCUGGACCAAGACCUCUGGAAGCGUCCUGCCUGGAAGCCGCUUGUGGGGAGGGUUCUCCUAGGGUCUCCAGGCUCCCGCUGGAGCACGCCUGGAGAUGCCUUGGGAGUCUGAGGAACCCCAGAUUCAGCACCCCUGCUUAACCUGCUUUUAAGAAGAAAAAAAUGGAACUUGAUAAACUUCACUCAAAGGAGAGACCCACUAAUAACUCCACCCACCUCACACCCAGUGAAGGUCUGGCUGUCCCUCUCUCUUCAUCUGUUCAGGCUGCUGUAACAAAAUGCUAUGGAAUUUCGCUCUGUUGCCCAGGCUGGAGUGCAGUGGCAUGGUCUCGGCUCAGGGCAACCUCCACCUCCCAGGUUCAAGUGAUUCUCCUGCCGCAGCCUCCCGAGUAGCUGGGAUUACAGGCAUGUGUCACACCCAGGAGAAUGACAGCUGAAGAUAGGGAGGAAGGCCCAGCUCAUCUCGUGAGGCCAGUCUUCUGCUCAGCAGGACACUCUGGUCUUGCAACUCCACCUCCCCUUUGCUGCCUACCACCACCAGGUCAUGAUGAAGACUGGCCACAGCCAACUCAAAGAAUGCUUCAAACCAAGUCAGUAGAAACUAGCCAAACAUGGGCGGUGGGGGCAAAGACUGAAUGGGAUAUUUGUGCAAAAAAAGAAAUAUAUGCAGAAAAUAUUUUGCAUUUGUAAUGCCGAAUAUCUCACAAAAUUCCCAGAGAAUACAACAUAUGUUUCAUCUUCUGGUUUUUCAAGUAAGAUCAAUCAUUCCUGCACAAUUCUUCAAAAGCAUCCCCUUUCUCAUGGUUCUCAUGAGGUGAGGAGCCUUUGAUAACUCCUGUUGGUUACAUUUACUCUGAGCUUCUGUCUAAGAAUGACCAGGAGCAGAAAGGUCAGUGCAGCUGAGAAUGUGGAAGAUAUUAUAGAACUCUUGGGCACUGUUGGAGGGAGUGUCAACUAGAACCAGUACCACCACUUGGGCAAGCAAUCUGGUUUUGUUGAGAUGAAGCAUGCACAUAUCCUAUGACCUGUGAAAAGCUCUGGAAUAUAUAUUUUUUCCGAGGAAGUUCUCCCACAAGUUCAUAAGAAUGCUCAUCAUGAAAUUGAUUGGGGUAGCUGGAUGUUGAAGGCAGCUUAGGUGCUUAUCACUAGAGAAAGGGAUUAACAAAAUAUGGCAGAUGUAGACUGUUGAAUACUAAGUAACAGUAAGAAAUAACCAACUGGAAGUAUACUGCAGCACUGUAGAUCUUUAAAAUCCAGGGGUAGCCGGGAACAGUGGCCCAUGCCUGUAAUUCCAGCACCUUGAGAGGCUUGGAUGGGAGGAUUGCAUGAGCCCAGGAGUUUUGAGACCAGUCUAGGCAACAUAGUGAGACCCUGUCUCUACAAAAACUAAAAAACUAAAAAAAUAGCUGGGUGUGGUUGCAGAUGCCUGUAGUCCCAUAUACGUGGGAGGCUGAGGUGGGAGGAUCACUUGAGCUUGGAGAUUGAGGCUGUAGUGAGCCAAGAUCACAUCACUGCACUCCAACCUGGCUGACAGGGUGAGACCCUGUUUCAAAAAACAAAAAAUACUGAGGGGUAAGGAAAAAACAUAGGAAAUAGGAAAGGAUAUAUAGUACAUUAUCAUUUUCGUAAAGACGUCUCACCUAAAAUAAUAUAACUUUUGUAAGAUGGCAUCCAUGCAUAUCUAAAGAUACAUUAAAGUAGGUGCUAUGGGGUGAAGGGAAUAUAAUUAGGGUUUAGAGGUAUAAAGGAAAAAUAAAAAGUAAAAUAAGGGAAGAACUUUGUUUGGAUUAAUGAUGAAGUACUUAAAAACUGAGCUUUUAAUUCAAAUUUCUUCACCUGCAGUAGAAAAAUAUUAGAGCAAAAUCACCCCUCACCCCACAAACCCUCUUCUACCACAAUGUGUAAGGGUCUUCACAGUCCAGCCCUGCGUGACCUAAAUCAAAGCUAGUUCUCUAUCUCGGGUGACAUCUUCCUCACCAUUACCUCACGACAGGUCUUGAACUCUUCCUCUUUGACAUUUUUUGGCUAGAGUCAACUUCUUUUCAUCUUAGCUUCUUGCUACAUCCACCUUCAAUAUGUCCCUAGCAGACAGGGCUGAGUCCCAGUGUAAUGUGGACAACUUCACACAAAGAUGUGUUAGGGCCAGGUGCGAUGGCUCAUGCCUGUGAUCCCAGCACUUUGGGAGGCCAAGGCAGGGGGACUGCUUGAGUCCAGGAGUUCAAGACCAGCCUGGGAAACAUGGUGAAACUCCAUCUCUACAAAAACCACAGAAAUUAUCCAGGUGUGGUGGCAUGCGUCUGUAGUCCCAGAAGGCUGAAGUGGGAGGAUUACUUGAGCCCGGGAGGCAGAAGUUGCAGUGAGCCAAGAUCAUCCCACAACAUUCCAGUCUGGGUGACACAGCGAGACCCUGUCUGGAAAAAAAAAAAAAAAAGUUAGGAUGCGUUAGAUCAGGGAUUUGUCUUCCCUGGGUUUGGUGACACCAUUGAUUUGACAUAGAACCUUAGGAAGUCCCUUCAUUGUGCUUGUCUCCCCUGUAGCACAUUCCACACAGCAUGGUCAUCUAUAAUGCAGGUAUCUCUGUUCUCCAUUAGACUGUAAGUUCAUGGAGGAUCAGAACCUUAGUUACCGAUGUCCACUGCCCAGAACUAAUCACAUAAGAAGCCUGUCUCUAAUAAUGUUUGAGAAAUGAAUGGAUUCCCCAGUCCCCUAAACCAGAUGGUGGAACAAUUUGGCUUCUAACUAACUUACACAUCUAAUUCAAAGCUUUAAUUGGUUGUAGUUUCAAAGUGCUUGUGUAAUGGUCCUAGAAUAUGCCACAAAAUAAAUAUGCAAUAACAAGGA